AUUGAACGCUGGCGGCAGGCCUAACACAUGCAAGUCGAGCGGAGCGGCGGACGGGCGAGUAAUGCCUAGGAAUCUGCCUGGUAGUGGGGGAUGACGUCCGGCAACGGGCGCUAAUACCGCAUAUUAUCAGUUGAGCCUAGGUGGGAUUAGCUAGUUGGUGGGGUAAAGGCCUACCAAGGCGACGAUCCGUAACUGGUCUGAGAGGAUGAUCAGUCACACUGGAACUGAGACACGGGCCAGACUCCUACGGGAGGCAGCAGUGGGGAAUAUUGCACAAUUGGCGAAAGCCUGAUGCAGCCAUGCCGCGUGUGUGAAGAAGGCCUUCGGGUUGUAAAGCACUUUAAGUUGGGAGGCGUUACCGACAGAAGAAGCACCGGCUAACUCCGUGCCAGCAGCCGCGGUAAUUC
rnacentral:rRNA from 1 species